AGUGAACGCUGGCGGUAGGCCUAACACAUGCAAGUCGAACGGCAGCACAGUAAGAGCUUGCUCUUACGGGUGGCGAGUGGCGGACGGGUGAGGAAUACAUCGGAAUCUACUUUUUCGUGGGGGAUAACGUAGGGAAACUUACGCUAAUACCGCAUACGACCUACGGGUGAAAGCAGGGGAUCUUCGGACUUUGCGCGAUUGAAUGAGCCGAUGUCGGAUUAGCUAGUUGGCGGGGUAAAGGCCCACCAAGGCGACGAUCCGUAGCUGGUCUGAGAGGAUGAUCAGCCACACUGGAACUGAGACACGGUCCAGACUCCUACGGGAGGCAGCAGUGGGGAAUAUUGGACAAUGGGCGCAAGCCUGAUCCAGCCAUACCGCGUGGGUGAAGAAGGCCUUCGGGUUGUAAAGCCCUUUUGUUGGGAAAGAAAAGCAGCAGGUUAAUACCCCGCUGUUCUGACGGUACCCAAAGAAUAAGCACCAGCUAACUUCGUG
rnacentral:rRNA from 1 species